rnacentral:rRNA from 1 species
GAGGAAUAUUGGUCAAUGGGCGCGAGCCUGAACCAGCCAAGUAGCGUGAAGGAUGACUGCCCUAUGGGUUGUAAACUUCUUUUAUAAAGGAAUAAAGUGGUCCACGUGUGGAUUUUUGUAUGUACUUUAUGAAUAAGGCUCGGCUAACUCCGUGCCAGCAGCCGCGGUAAUACGGAGGAUCCAAGCGUUAUCCGGAUUUAUUGGGUUUAAAGGGAGCGUAGAUGGAUGUUUAAGUCAGUUGUGAAAGUUCGGGGCUCAACCCCGGAAUUGCAGUUGAUACUGGAUAUCUUGAGUACAGUUGAGGUAGGCGGAAUUCGUGGUGUAGCGGUGAAAUGCUUAGAUAUCACGAAGAACUCCGAUUGCGAAGGCAGCUUACUAAGCUGUAACUGACAUUGAGGCUCGAAAGUGUGGGUAUCAAAC